GACAGAGGAUGCAAGCGUUAUCCGGAAUGAUUGGGCGUAAAGCGUCUGUAGGUGGCUUUUCAAGUCCGCCGUCAAAUCCCAGGGCUCAACCCUGGACAGGCGGUGGAAACUACCAAGCUUGAGUGCGGUAGAGGGAGAGGGAAUUUCCGGUGGAGCGGUGAAAUGCGUUGAGAUCGGAAAGAACACCAACGGCUAAAGCACUCUGCUGGGCCGACACUGACGCUGAGACACGAAAGCUAGGGGAGCAAAUGGG
rnacentral:rRNA from 1 species